rnacentral:rRNA from 1 species
UACAGAGGUCCCAAGCGUUGUUCGGAUUCAUUGGGCGUAAAGGGUGCGUAGGUGGCGCUGUAAGUCGGGUGUGAAAUUUCGGAGCUUAACUCCGAAACUGCAUUCGAUACUGCGGUGCUCGAGGACUGGAGAGGAGACUGGAAUUCAUGGUGUAGCAGUGAAAUGCGUAGAUAUCGGGAGGAACACCAAUGGCGAAGGCGGCUCGCUGGGACGGUACUGACGCUGAGGCGCGAAAGCGUGGGGAGCAAACAGG